UUUCAUCUCCCAACCUCAUAAUUCUCAUUCUUUAAGCGGUAUCAUUUCUUGGAAUGUGUAGAAUAAGUUGUACUGCUUGGAGAAAUACUUUUAUACUUCCACUUUAUUUGUUAUAAUUUAUCAUUUUCUCAUGAUUUCUCUUGGAAUAAGUUUCACUAUCUCUGGAAUGUUUGGAAUAAGCUUCAAAUUUUACUCAGAAGCUUAGGAAUCAACUCAAGACUCUAUCGCCAUAGUCAGGAAGUGUGUAGAUAGCGAGAUAUUAUACAAGAGCUUUAGGUAGUGGAUUAAGUUUUAUAUUAAUAUACGUGCCAUCAUCGUCGUUAUCUGUAUCAGACAUAACAAAAUUACUACCAAAAGAUUCAUCAGAGGAGGAGGAGAAGAGGCCGCCAUUAUUAGGAGAGUUGAAGUCAAAGGAACUGCAUGAGAAACUCCUUCUUUAGUCCAGCUCUGCGCUUUUAAUCUGCAUGCUGGCUAGAUGCCCAAACAGGUUGGUAUGCCUGAAGCCUCUUUCCAGGUAUCUAAUGUCUGUAAGGUUGAACCAUAGAGAUUUUGAUGCUGUUAAUUGUCCCCGAACUCUAGUAGCACCGAUAUGGACUUUCUUGUUAUUAUUCACGGUGAUAAUAUGUAUUUUCUUAAUCUCAUAUUAUCGAGUUUAUUAUAUUUCCAUGGAAUUAUGUGUUGCUGCAGUUAACUGUUGCACAAAUCCCCUUAAACUAGUUACGGUUUGCAACUUUCAUACUUGGAGGAAAAAAAUGUAUGGUCUUCUUAGCGCUAGUGAAGUGUAUCUUGACAAGUAUUAGCUAACGUUCCUUUUGUCUUUUCAAAUGCUUUGGUUAUUUGAGUAACUAAUUUAGUGACUCACAUGAGUUUUUCCAAUAUGCUGAUCAACGAUGGAUGCAACUUAUUAACUCAGUCAUUAUGUUAGCAACCAAAUUAGCUUACAUUUGUAAUGUUCAAUAACAAAACCCACUGAUAUUAGAAUAACUGGUUGAUUAUUCUGGUGGUUUUUAGAAACAGGAAUGUCAGUAAUGAGUAGAUGAUAAAAAUGGAAGAUGUUGCGUACAUGGAUUUGGAUAGCAUUUAGUUAAUUAAUUUAUCUAUCUUUUCCCGAUUCUGAUGGACUAUAUGGAUGCUUAAUCAAUUGCAAGUUACCCAUUUCUUUUCAGUAUCUAUACAGGGGAAAGAAAUAAGGGAACAAGGUAUUACAUGACUCACAAGAAUUUUGUGGCCUAGGCGUUACUGAUCAUUGUACAGAUUAAAGUGCUGAAGUCUGAAGAACAAAUGCCGAGCAAGUAGAAGUAAUUGAAAAUGCUAAAGAACAAGUUAAAACACUAGAGGACCUUAUUUUCUAUUUUGUUUGGAGUUGUUAAAGAUGUUUGUGUUUGUAAUGCUACAAUUCUAUCUUCUGUUUUGUUAGGUGUUGACUUACAUAUUGUCAUACAAUUGGGAUUGGUAUA